rnacentral:rRNA from 1 species
GACGAACGCUGGCGGCGUGCUUAACACAUGCAAGUCGAACGGAAAGGCCCUGCUUUUGUGGGGUGCUCGAGUGGCGAACGGGUGAGUAACACGUGAGUAACCUGCCCUUGACUUUGGGAUAACUUCAGGAAACUGGGGCUAAUACCGGAUAUGAGCUCCUGCUGCAUGGUGGGGGUUGGAAAGUUUCGGCGGUUGGGGAUGGACUCGCGGCUUAUCAGCUUGUUGGUGGGGUAGUGGCUUACCAAGGCUUUGACGGGUAGCCGGCCUGGGAGGGUGACCGGCCACAUUGGGACUGCGAUACGGACCAGACUCCUACGGGAGGCAGCAGUGGGGAACAUUGCACAAUGGGCGGAAGCCUGAGGCAGCAACGCCGCGUUCGGGAUGACGGCCUUCGGGUUGUAAACCGCUUUCGCCUGUGACGAAGCGUGAGUGACGGUAAUGGGUAAAGAAGCACCGGCUAACUACGUG